rnacentral:rRNA from 1 species
AGUACAGACGAGUUUGAUCCUGGCUCAGAACGAACGCUGGCGGCAGGCCUAACACAUGCAAGUCGAACGCCCCGCAAGGGGAGUGGCAGACGGGUGAGUAACGCGUGGGAACCUACCUAGAGGUGCGGAAUAGCCCAGGGAAACUUGGAGUAAUACCGCAUAAGCCCGCAAGGGGAAAGAUUUAUCGCCUUUAGAUGGGCCCGCGUCUGAUUAGCUAGUUGGUGAGGUAAUGGCUCACCAAGGCGACGAUCAGUAGCUGGUUUGAGAGAAUGACCAGCCACACUGGGACUGAGACACGGCCCAGACUCCUACGGGAGGCAGCAGUGGGGAAUCUUGGACAAUGGGGGCAACCCUGAUCCAGCCAUGCCGCGUGAGUGACGAAGGCCUUAGGGUUGUAAAGCUCUUUUGGCGGGGACGAUAAUGACGGUACCCGCAGAAUAAGUCCCGGCUAACUUCGUG